CGAUCUACCCAAGGGUGGGGGACAACUCAGGGAAACCUGAGCUAAUACCGCGUACAGCGCCGGCUUAGAAGCCUGGCGUGAAAGCUGGCCUCUACUUGUAAGCUAGCGCCUUUGGAUGAGCUCGCGGCCUAUCAGCUUGUUGGUGGGGUAAUGGCCUACCAAGGCGAUGACGGGUAGCUGGCGUGAGAGCGCGACCAGCCACACUGGGACUGAGACACGGCCCAGACUCCUACGGGAGGCAGCAGUGGGGAAUAUUGCGCAAUGGGCGAAAGCCUGACGCAGCGACGCCGCGUGGGGGAGGAAGGCCUCAGGGUUGUAAACCCCUGUCAGGUGGGACGAAUCCCGUAAUGGCGAAUAGGCAUUACGAAUGACGGUACCACCAGAGGAAGCUCCGGCUAACUCCGUGCCAGCAGCCGCGGUAAUACGGGGGGAGCGAGCGUUGUUCGGAAUUACUGGGCGUAAAGGGCGCGUAGGCGGCUUGGUAAGUCGCGUGUGAAAGGCCGGGGCUCAACCCCGAGCACUGCACGCGAUACUGCCUGGCUCGAGAGAGGUAGGGGCGAGUGGAAUUCCCGGUGUAGCGGUGGAAUGCGUAUAUAUCGGGAAGAUCACCUGUGG
rnacentral:rRNA from 1 species